UACAGAGGGUGCAAGCGUUGUUCGGAAUUAUUGGGCGUAAAGGGCGCGUAGGCGGUGCGGUAAGUCUGCGGUGAAAUCUCCCGGCUCAACUGGGAGGCUGCCGUGGAAACUGCCGUGCUUGAGUGUGGGAGAGGUGAGUGGAAUUCCCGGUGUAGCGGUGAAAUGCGUAGAUAUCGGGAAGAACACCCGUGGCGAAGGCGGCACUCUGGGACGGUACUGACGCUGAGACGCGAAAGCGUGGGGAGCGAACAGG
rnacentral:rRNA from 1 species